rnacentral:rRNA from 1 species
UGGGGAAUAUUGGACAAUGGGGGCAACCCUGAUCCAGCCAUGCCGCGUGAGUGAUGAAGGCCUUCGGGUUGUAAAGCUCUUUUGGCGGGGACGAUGAUGACGGUACCCGCAGAAUAAGCCCCGGCUAACUUCGUGCCAGCAGCCGCGGUAAGACGAAGGGGGCUAGCGUUGUUCGGAAUUACUGGGCGUAAAGCGAGUGUAGGCGGUUGCCGUAGUCAGGUGUGAAAGCCUUGAGCUCAACUCAAGAAAUGCACUUGAUACUGGGUGACUAGAGGACCGGAGAGGAUAGUGGAAUUCCCAGUGUAGUGGUGAAAUACGUGGAGAUUGGGAAGAACACCAGUGGCGAAGGCGGCUAUCUGGACGGUUACUGACGCUAAGACUCGAAAGCGUGGGGAGCAAACAGGAUUAGAUACCCUGGUAGUCCACGCCGUAAACGAUGGGUGCUAGACGUUGGCGAGCUUGCUCGUCAGUGUCGCAGCUAACGCGUUAAGCACCCCGCCUGGGGAGUACGGCCGCAAGGUUGAAACUUAAAGGAAUUGACGGGGGUCAUAGCUGUUU